UUAAUUUUAAAUCCAUUUGAUAGAAUUAAUCAUAUAAGCCAGUCUCAUUUCCCUGCAAAUGUCUGCCUUCGUGCAGGUGAUUUUAUAGAAAGAAGAGCUUCUCUUUCAACUCCAUGGACAUCAGAGAGAGUCCCUUUCAAAAAAGGAGGCUCAGGUCUGGAGAGACAAAGGCCUCCACUUUCUCAAAGGCCUCUUGGAUCAAGCCCAGAUCCUCAUCAGCACUGACAACAUGUCCAGCCUGCACUACUGCAAGAACUUCUUUUUCUAUGGUAGUGUGGUCAACUGAAGAAGCCGGCUUAGUUGCUCCAGUCAGGUGCUCACACUAAGAAAGGUUGGGUGAAGGUUAUAAAGUGGCUGUGAAUGAGAACUCGAUCUGGGCUCUACCAAGCAGAGAAGCCAUGCAGAGAUGAGAAAGGUGAAAGGCAUGAAACCAUGUUAAGCAGAAAAAUAAAAAUUCAUAAAAGAA
rnacentral:lncRNA from 1 species